rnacentral:rRNA from 1 species
CCCCUAGAUGUUCUGGGCCGCACGCGCGCUACACUGAACAGUUCAACAAGUCUUAACCUUGGCCGAUAGGUCUGGGUAAUCUUUGAACGCCGGUCGUGAUGGGGAUAGACUUUUGCAAUUUUUGGUCUUCAACGAGGAAUUCCUAGUAAACGCAAGUCAUCAACUUGCAUUGAUUACGUCCCUGCCCUUUGUACACACCGCCCGUCGCACCUACCGAUUGAAUGGUCCGGUGAAGCCUCCGGAUUGGCGCGCACCUCGGUGCCGCCGAGAAGUUGGCUAAACCUUNCNAUUUAUNGGAAGGUGAANUCGUANCA